rnacentral:hammerhead_ribozyme from 1 species
GCAUUGCUGAGGAGUCCCAGACCGGGACGAAACGGGCGUCCAGUGC